rnacentral:rRNA from 1 species
CCUACGGGAGGCAGCAGUGGGGAAUAUUGCACAAUGGGGGAAACCCUGAUGCAGCGACGCCGCGUGAGUGAAGAAGUAAUUCGUUAUGUAAAGCUCUAUCAGCCGGGAAGAAAAUGACGGUACCUGAGUCAGAAGCCCCGGCUAACUACGUGCCAGCAGCCGCGGUAAUACGUAGGGGGCAAGCGUUAUCCGGAUUUACUGGGUGUAAAGGGAGCGUAGACGGCAGUGCAAGUCUGGAGUGAAAGGCGGGGGCUCAACCCCCGGACUGCUCUGGAAACUGUACGGCUGGAGUGCAGGAGAGGUAAGUGGAAUUCCUAGUGUAGCGGUGAAAUGCGUAGAUAUUAGGAGGAACACCAGUGGCGAAGGCGGCUUACUGGACUGUAACUGACGUUGAGGCUCGAAAGCGUGGGGAGCAAACAGGAUUAGAUACCCGAGUAGUC